UACGGGGGGGGCAAGCGUUGUUCGGAAUUACUGGGCGUAAAGGGUCCGUAGGCGGUGCGGUAAGUCGGGGGUGAAAUCUCUGGGCUUAACUCAGAGGCUGCUUCCGAAACUACCGUGCUAGAGUGCGAGAGAGGCAAGUGGAAUUGCGGGUGUAGCGGUGAAAUGCGUAGAUAUCCGCAGGAACAUCCGAGGCGAAAGCGGCUUGCUGGAUCGCAACUGACGCUGAGGGACGAAAGCUAGGGGAGCAAACAGG
rnacentral:rRNA from 1 species